GGGCGCAAGCCUGAUGCAGCGACGCCGCGUGAGGGAUGAAGGCCUUCGGGUUGUAAACCUCUUUCAGCAGGGAAGAAGCGUAAGUGACGGUACCUGCAGAAGAAGCGCCGGCUAACUACGUGCCAGCAGCCGCGGUAAUACGUAGGGCGCAAGCGUUGUCCGGAAUUAUUGGGCGUAAAGAGCUCGUAGGCGGUCUGUCGCGUCUGGUGUGAAAACCCAUGGCUCAACCAUGGGCUUGCAUCGGGUACGGGCAGACUAGAGUGCGGUAGGGGAGACUGGAAUUCCUGGUGUAGCGGUGGAAUGCGCAGAUAUCAGGAGGAACACCGAUGGCGAAGGCAGGUCUCUGGGCCGCAACUGACGCUGAGGAGCGAAAGCAUGGGGAGCGAACAGGAUUAGAUACCCUGGUAGUCCAUGCCGUAAACGUUGGGCACUAGGUGUGGGGCUCAUUCCACGAGUUCCGUGCCGCAGCAAACGCAUUAAGUGCCCCGCCUGGGGAGUACGGCCG
rnacentral:rRNA from 1 species